UGACUAGAGGAGCUUGCUCNUCUUGGAUGAUNUGCGAACGGGUGAGUAACGCGUAGGUAACCUGCCUGGUAGCGGGGGAUAACUAUUGGAAACGAUAGCUAAUACCGCAUAAAAUGGAUUAUCGCAUGAUAAUUCAUUGAAAGGUGCAAAUGCAUCACUACCAGAUGGACCUGCGUUGUAUUAGCUAGUUGGUGGGGUAACGGCUCACCAAGGCGACGAUACAUAGCCGACCUGAGAGGGUGAUCGGCCACACUGGGACUGAGACACGGCCCAGACUCCUACGGGAGGCAGCAGUAGGGAAUCUUCGGCAAUGGACGGAAGUCUGACCGAGCAACGCCGCGUGAGUGAAGAAGGUUUUCGGAUCGUAAAGCUCUGUUGUAAGAGAAGAACGAGUGUGAGAGUGGAAAGUUCACACUGUGACGGUAUCUUACCAGAAAGGGACGGCUAACUACGUGCCAGCAGC
rnacentral:rRNA from 1 species